UACGUAGGGUGCGAGCGUUGUCCGGAAUUAUUGGGCGUAAAGGGCUCGUAGGCGGUUUGUCGCGUCGGGAGUGAAAACCAGGUGCUUAACACUUGGCUUGCUUUCGAUACGGGCAGACUAGAGGUAUGCAGGGGAGAACGGAAUUCCUGGUGUAGCGGUGAAAUGCGCAGAUAUCAGGAGGAACACCAGCGGCGAAGGCGGCGCUCUGGGCCGGUACUGACACUGAGGAGCGAAAGCGUGGGGAGCAAACAGG
rnacentral:rRNA from 1 species